GUGAAGUAAAUGUAUAAUUAUGCGGCAUUACCUGUAACAGACAGAGAGACUCCAGGUUGGCCGGUGUAUUUGCCUUUAGGAU